GAUGAACGCUGGCGGCGUGCCUAAUACAUGCAAGUCGAGCGAACAGACGAGGAGCUUGCUCCUCUGACGUUAGCGGCGGACGGGUGAGUAACACGUGGAUAACCUACCUAUAAGACUGGGAUAACUUCGGGAAACCGGAGCUAAUACCGGAUAAUAUAUUGAACCGCAUGGUUCAAUAGUGAAAGACGGUUUUGCUGUCACUUAUAGAUGGAUCCGCGCCGCAUUAGCUAGUUGGUAAGGUAACGGCUUACCAAGGCAACGAUGCGUAGCCGACCUGAGAGGGUGAUCGGCCACACUGGAACUGAGACACGGUCCAGACUCCUACGGGAGGCAGCAGUAGGGAAUCUUCCGCAAUGGGCGAAAGCUUGACGGAGCAACGCCGCGUGAGUGAUGAAGGUCUUCGGAUCGUAAAACUCUGUUAUUAGGGAAGAACAAAUGUGUAAGUAACUAUGCACGUCUCGACGGUACCUAAUCAGAAAGCCACGGCUAACUACGUG
rnacentral:rRNA from 1 species